rnacentral:tRNA from 2 species
UGAUGUGUAGCUCAGUUGGUGAGAGCGCUCAACUUAUAAUUGAGAGGUCGCUAGUUCAAGUCUAGCUACAUCAA